rnacentral:rRNA from 1 species
AUUGAACGCUGGCGGAAUGCUUUACACAUGCAAGUCGAACGGCAGCGGGGGCUUCGGCCUGCCGGCGAGUGGCGAACGGGUGAGUAAUGCAUCGGAACGUGCCCAUGUCGUGGGGGAUAACGUAUCGAAAGCUGUGCUAAUACCGCAUACGCCCUGAGGGGGAAAGCGGGGGGACCGUAAGGCCUCGCGCGAUUAGAGCGGCCGAUAUCUGAUUAGCUUGUUGGUGGGGUAAAAGCCCACCAAGGCGACGAUCAGUAGCUGGUCUGAGAGGACGAUCAGCCACACUGGGACUGAGACACGGCCCAGACUCCUACGGGAGGCAGCAGUGGGGAAUUUUGGACAAUGGGGGCAACCCUGAUCCAGCAAUGCCGCGUGAGUGAAGAAGGCCUUCGGUGUAAGCUCUUUGUCAGGGAGAAACAGCAGCUCUAACACAGUCUGCGAAUGACGGUACCUGAAGAAUAAAGCACCGGCUAACUACGUGCCAGCA